rnacentral:rRNA from 1 species
UACCAGCACCCCGAGUGGUCUGGACGUUUAUUGGGCCUAAAGCAUCCGUAGCCGGUUCUACAAGUCUUCCGUUAAAUCCAGCUGCUUAACAGAUGGGCUGCGGAAGAUACUAUGGAGCUAGGAGGCGGGAGAGGCAAGCGGUACUCGAUGGGUAGGGGUAAAAUCCGUUGAUCCAUUGAAGAACACCAGUGGCGAAGGCGGCUUGCCAGAACGCGCUCGACGGUGAGGGAUGAAAGCUGGGGGAGCAAACCGG